GUGCUCGCUUUGGUAGCACAGAUACUAAAAUUGGAACAAUAUAGAGAAGAUUAGCAUGGCCCCUGUGUAGGGAUGACACACAAAUUCAUGAAGUGUUCUGUAUUUAA
rnacentral:snRNA from 1 species